CUGUACAGUUCAGAGUUUGAUCCUGGCUCAGGACGAACGCUGGCGGCGUGCCUAACACAUGCAAGUCGAACGGGGUAAUGACUUCGGUUAUUACUUAGUGGCGAACGGGUGAGUAACGCGUGAGAAACCUGCCUUUCAGUGGGGGACAACAGUUGGAAACGACUGCUAAUACCGCAUAAUGUUAUUUGGGGGCAUCCCUGAAUAACCAAAGAUUUAUUGCUGAAAGAUGGUCUCGCGUCUGAUUAGCUAGUUGGUGAGGUAACGGCUCACCAAGGCGACGAUCAGUAGCCGGUCUGAGAGGAUGAACGGCCACAUUGGGACUGAGAUACGGCCCAG
rnacentral:rRNA from 1 species